rfam:Roseburia sp. CAG:18 genomic scaffold, scf165
UUUCUCAAGGGUUAGAGGCCGUUAGAAUUUUGUCAGUACCCAGCGAUUCCCGUACACGGAUGUACGGGAAAGGACGACAUGAGCCCAAGGUGGUAAGGAAUCCUCCCACUUAGGUGGGUCCCUCCUUACCACAGCGGAUGGCGAAUGUCGUCCGGUCGCGUCCGGCACGCAAAAUCUUUCGCCAAAAUUCUUACAGCCUCUUCCUGAAGAGAAU